rnacentral:rRNA from 1 species
AGGAUCCUGGCUCAGAACGAACGCUGGCGGCGCGUCUUAAGCAUGCAAGUCGAACGGUAAGGGAGAGCUUGCUCUCCCCUAGAGUGGCGGACUGGUGAGUAACGCGUGGGUGACCUGCCCUGAAGAUGGGGAUAGCUAGUAGAAAUAUUAGAUAAUACCGAAUGUGCUCAUUUACAUAAAGGUAAAUGAGGAAAGGAGCUACGGCUCCGCUUCAGGAUGGACCCGCGUCCCAUUAGCUGGUUGGUGAGGUAAAGGCCCACCAAGGCAACGAUGGGUAUCCGGCCUGAGAGGGUGAACGGACACAUUGGGACUGAGAUACGGCCCAAACUCCUACGGGAGGCAGCAGCUAAGAAUCUUCCGCAAUGGACGAAAGUCUGACGGAGCGACGCCGUGUGAAUGAAGAAGGCCGAAAGGUUGUAAAAUUCUUUUGCAGAUGAAGAAUAAGAAGAAGAGGGAAUGCUUCUUUGAUGACGGUAGUCAUGCGAAUAAGCCCCGGCUAAUUACGUGCCAGCAGCCGCGGUAACACGUAAGGGGCGAGCGUUGUUCGGAAUUAUUGGGCGUAAAGGGUAUGUAGGCGGUUAGGUAAGCCUGGUGUGAAAUCUACGAGCUCAACUCGUAAACUGCAUUGGGUACUGCUUGACUUGAAUCACGGAGGGGAAACCGGAAUUCCAAGUGUAGGGGUGGAAUCUGUAGAUAUUUGGAAGAACACCGGUGGCGAAGGCGGGUUUCUGGCCGAUGAUUGACGCUGAUAUACGAAGGUGCGGGGAGCAAACAGGAUUAGAUACCCUGGUAGUCCGCACAGUAAACGAUGUACACUAGGUGCCGGGGCAAGAGCUUCGGUGCCGACGCAAAC